rnacentral:rRNA from 1 species
UACAGAGGGUGCUAGCGUUGUUCGGAAUCAUUGGGCGUAAAGGGCGUGUAGGCGGUUUGUUAAGUCAGACGUGAAAUCCCUCAGCUUAACUGGGGAACUGCGUCUGAUACUGGAUGGCUUGAGUUUGGGAGAGGGAUGCGGAAUUCCAGGUGUAGCGGUGAAAUGCGUAGAUAUCUGGAGGAACACCGGUGGCGAAGGCGGCAUCCUGGACCAACACUGACACUGAUGAGCGAAAGCCAGGGGAGCAAACGGG